rnacentral:rRNA from 1 species
UACGGAGGGAGCUAGCGUUGUUCGGAAUUACUGGGCGUAAAGCGCACGUAGGCGGCUAUUCAAGUCGGGGGUGAAAGCCCGGGGCUCAACCCCGGAACUGCCCUCGAAACUAGGUAGCUAGAAUCUUGGAGAGGUCAGUGGAAUUCCGAGUGUAGAGGUGAAAUUCGUAGAUAUUAGGAAGAACACCAGUGGCGAAGGCGGCUCACUGGCCCGGUACUGACGCUGAGGCGCGAAAGCGUGGGGAGCAAACAGG